rnacentral:rRNA from 1 species
CCUGUUUAACAAAAACAUGUCUUUUUGUUAAUAAUUUAAAGUCUAAUCUGCCCACUGAUAUAUUUAUUAAAGGGCUGCAGUAUUUUGACUGUACAAAGGUAGCAUAACAUUAGUCUUUUAAUUGGUGACUUGUAUGAAAGAUUGGAUGAAAUAUAAACUGUCUCUUUUAUAAAAAAAAAUUGAAUUUAAUUUUUUAAUUAAAAAGUUAAAAUUAUUUAAAAAGACGAGAAGACCCUAUAGAGUUUUAUAAUUUAUUUUGUAAAUAUUUUUAUUUUUAUAUUUUUAUAAUUUUAAAUUAUUUUGUUGGGGUGAUAAAAAAAUUUAAUUAACUGUUUUCAAUAGUUUACCUUCAUACAGUGAUGGAUGGUUCCAAUUUUAUUGAUUAAAAGAAAAAAUUACCUUAGGGAUAACAGCGUAA